CCUACGGGUGGCAGCAGUGAGGAAUAUUGGUCAAUGGGCGGGAGCCUGAACCAGCCAAGUCGCGUGAAGGAAGAAGGUACUUAGUAUUGUAAACUUCUUUUGUCGGGGAACAAAGGCGGAGACGCGUCUCCGGAUGAGUGUACCCGAAGAAAAAGCAUCGGCUAACUCCUGGCCAGCAGCCGCGGUAAUACGGAGGAUGCGAGCGUUAUUCGGAUUUCUUGGGUUUACAGGGUGCGCGGGCGGGAGAUAAAGUCGGCGGUAAAAUGUCGGGGCUCAACCCGGGCCGGCCGUUGAAACUGGUUGUCUAGAGUUGGAGAGAAGUAGGCGGAAUUCGUGGUGUAGCGGUGAAAUGCAUAGAGAUCACGAAGAACACCGAUUGCGAAGGCAGCAUACCGGCUCCAUACUGACGCUGAGGCACGAAAGCGUGGGGAGCGAACAGGAUUAGAUACCCCAGUAGUC
rnacentral:rRNA from 1 species